UAGGACGUGUGGUUCUAUUUUGUUGGUUUCUAGGACCGCCGUAAUGAUUAAUAGGGAUAGUCGGGGGCAUCAGUAUUCAAUUGUCAGAGGUGAAAUUCUUGGAUUUAUUGAAGACUAACUACUGCGAAAGCAUUUGCCAAGGAUGUUUUCAUUAAUCAGUGAACGAAAGUUAGGGGAUCGAAGACGAUCAGAUACCGUCGUAGUCUUAACCAUAAACUAUGCCGACUAGGGAUCGGGCGAUGUUAUCUUUUUGACUCGCUCGGCACCUUACGAGAAAUCAAAGUUUUUGGGUUCUGGGGGGAGUAUGGUCGCAAGGCUGAAACUUAAAGAAAUUGACGGAAGGGCACCACCAGGAGUGGAGCCUGCGGCUUAAUUUGACUCAACACGGGGAAACUCACCAGGUCCAGACACAAUAAGGAUUGACAGAUUGAGAGCUCUUUCUUGAUUUUGUGGGUGGUGGUGCAUGGCCGUUCUUAGUUGGUGGAGUGAUUUGUCUGCUUAAUUGCGAUAACGGCGAA
rnacentral:rRNA from 1 species